rnacentral:rRNA from 1 species
UACGAAGGGGGCUAGCGUUGUUCGGAAUUACUGGGCGUAAAGCGCACGUAGGCGGAUAUUUAAGUCGGGGGUGAAAUCCCGGGGCUCAACCCCGGAAUGGCCUUCGAGACUGGUGGUCUUGAGUUCGAGAGAGGUGAGUGGAAUUCCGAGUGUAGAGGUGAAAUUCGUAGAUAUUCGGAGGAACACCAGUGGCGAAGGCGGCUCACUGGCUCGACACUGACGCUGAGGUGCGAAAGCGUGGGGAGCAAACAGG